rnacentral:lncRNA from 1 species
CUAGGGAGAAAAUGGCAGAGAAGAGACGUGUUCUAGAAUUUGAACGUUUAGAUCUGUAGAAGAGAAGAAAAGAGACUGACAGAGGGGCCAGUGAAAUAGGAGGAAACAGAGGAAGUGAGUUUCCAGAUACCAGGACACAGAAGUGUGUCAAGCAUGAUGACAUAAUAAGUGGUAUUAAAUGCUGCCUAUAGGUCAAUAAAGAGGGGGCCAAUAAUUGCUGGCUUGGUGACACGGGCGUGGUUUUGACAAGUGCAGUCUUUCUGUAGAGGGAAAGGGACAAAAGCCUGUUUGGAAAGUCCUGGUGCUGAGGAAGGCUGCAGUAAUGAUCAGCCAACAACUCUCCAAGCCUCAUGAAACAGCAACAGUUCAUUUUGCUGUUCAUGUUCCCUGUUGGCAGCUGUGGGUCAGCUACAGUUCUGCUCUUUGCAACUUCUCAUUUCAAAACCCGGGCCCAAGAAGGAGCUCCAACCUCGGUCUGCAGCUACGUGGCCUCUGGGGACAGAAGAUUGCUGGUGGAGACGCGGCGUUUCUCUUACAAGCUCCUUGAACAGGCAUCGAUUUGGGGGCUGAAUUCGAGGGAGGCCAGGAGAUGGAUUGGAGGCCGCAGCAGGAGCCCUCAGGGAGCGAGGAUGGGGAGAAGGGACACGGCCAUCUGCGGGACGUCUAGGAAGUGAAGGCAGCAGGACUUACUGGUUGGUUCCUGGCAGUGAAGCAGAGGGAGGAGACACAGCUGAGACAGAGACUCUGGGAGGACCCAGGGCUGAGAGCAAGGGCAGGGCGGGGAGAGUCAGUGCUCCUUUAAUCUGGGGAGGUGGAGUCAGGGGUUCGGGCACUUCCAGGUGGAGGUGUCCAGCAGGCAGUUGUGUGCAGGUGAAUCUGAUGGAGGAGAAGGGGAAAGUGUGGCCGGAGGUAGAGACUUGGGACUCCCCAGCUUAGAGCAGUGGUUCCUGCCCCGAGAGUGCCUGGGCGCACCCGCGGAGAAAGCAGCUGGGAGCUGGGGACCACAGUGCGGGGGGGAAAGAAGUCCCAGGGAGUCCGAGACAGACACCACGUGGCCCCGGGAGAAG